GAAAUGCGAUAAGUAGUGUGAAUUGCAGAAUUCAGUGAAUCAUCGAAUCUUUGAACGCACAUUGCGCCCCUCGGUAUUCCGUGGGGCAUGCCUGUUCGAGCGUCAUCUACACCCUCAAGCUCUGCUUGGUGUUGGGCGUCUGUCCCGCCUCCGCGCGCGGACUCGCCCCAAAUGCAUUGGCAGCGGUUCCUUGCCCCCCUCUUUGCGCAGCACAUUGCCAUUCGAGGCGGCGGCGGCCCGCGUCCAACAAGCUCAACCCCCCCGUCUUUGACCUCGGAUCAGGUAGGGAUACCCGCUGAACUUAAGCA
rnacentral:misc_RNA from 1 species